UACGUAGGGGGCAAGCGUUGAUCGGAUUUACUGGGCGUAAAGGGCGCGUAGGCGGCGCGUAAAGUCGGACAUGAAAUCAUUAGGCUUAACCUGAUGGCUGUGCCCGAUACUUACGUGCUUGGAGUGCGGGAGAGGCAAUCGGAAUUCUCGGUGUGGCGGUGAAAUGCGUAGAUAUCGAGAGGAACUCCGGUGACGAAGGUGGGUUGCUGGACCGACACUGACGCUGAGGCGCGAAAGCUAGGGGAGCAAACGGG
rnacentral:rRNA from 1 species